rnacentral:tRNA from 1 species
UGUCUUAUAGUUAAUAAAUAAUAACAUCAAACUGCAAUUUUGAAGUAAACUUGAGUUUAAGGCUU